rnacentral:rRNA from 1 species
ACAUGCAAGUCGAGCGAAUGGAUUAAGAGCUUGCUCUUAUGAAGUUAGCGGCGGACGGGUGAGUAACACGUGGGUAACCUGCCCAUAAGACUGGGAUAACUCCGGGAAACCGGGGCUAAUACCGGAUAACAUUUUGAACUGCAUGGUUCGAAAUUGAAAGGCGGCUUCGGCUGUCACUUAUGGAUGGACCCGCGUCGCAUUAGCUAGUUGGUGAGGUAACGGCUCACCAAGGCAACGAUGCGUAGCCGACCUGAGAGGGUGAUCGGCCACACUGGGACUGAGACACGGCCCAGACUCCUACGGGAGGCAGCAGUAGGGAAUCUUCCGCAAUGGACGAAAGUCUGACGGAGCAACGCCGCGUGAGUGAUGAAGGCUUUCGGGUCGUAAAACUCUGUUGUUAGGGAAGAACAAGUGCUAGUUGAAUAAGCUGGCACCUUGACGGUACCUAAC